rnacentral:rRNA from 1 species
ACGAACCGUCCAAACGUUAUUCGGAAUCACUGGGCUUAAAGGGUGCGUAGGCGGCGCGGAAAGUUGGGUGUGAAAUACCUCGGCUCAACCGAGGAACUGCGCCCAAAACUUCCGUGCUUGAGGGAGAUAGAGGUGAGCGGAACUUAGGGUGGAGCGGUGAAAUGCGUUGAUAUCCUAAGGAACACCGGUGGCGAAGGCGGCUCACUGGAUCUCUUCUGACGCUGAGGCACGAAAGCUAGGGUAGCGAACGGG